UACGUAGGUGGCAAGCGUUGUCCGGAUUUAUUGGGGUUUAAAGGGUGCGUAGGCGGUCCUAUAAGUCAGUGGUGAAAUACGGCAGCUCAACUGUCGAGGUGCCAUUGAUACUGUAGGACUUGAGUACAGACGAGGUAGGCGGAAUUGACGGUGUAGCGGUGAAAUGCUUAGAUAUCGUCAAGAACACCGAUAGCGAAGGCAGCUUACUAGACUGUAACUGACGCUGAGCACGAAAGUGUGGGGAUCAAACAGG
rnacentral:rRNA from 1 species